rnacentral:piRNA from 1 species
UCUGCAAUCAGACCUGGUUUCCUCCCAAC